CUUCAAGAUACCUGCAGGGGGACAUUCUACCAAAAAGCAAGUGAUGGAAAAACCUGUGUUCUUCUUGCUCUGUUCUCCGCUGACUGAGACUCGUGGCUGACAGGUGACAGCUGUCUGAAGCUCCCAAGGUUUGUGCACUUAAAUCAGUGAUGACUGCACCUCACCCCACAUCUCACCCAGUGUCACAAAGUACGACAACCAGUCACGUCCCCGAUGUCAGCAGAAAUACUCCUCAAUGGAGGAAGCUACUGGAGGAUGUGUCUUAAAAAAACGAAUGAUGAACUAAGAAAAUAGAAGAUAUGGGAUCCUAGAAAAGAAGGUCCAACACAAGACAGA